CCUACGGGUGGCAGCAGUGAGGAAUAUUGGUCAAUGGGCGCGAGCCUGAACCAGCCAAGUAGCGUGAAGGAAGACUGCCCUACGGGUUGUAAACUUCUUUUAUAAAGGAAUAAAGUGAGGCACGUGUGCCUAUUUGUAUGUACUUUAUGAAUAAGGAUCGGCUAACUCCGUGCCAGCAGCCGCGGUAAUACGGAGGAUCCGAGCGUUAUCCGGAUUUAUUGGGUUUAAAGGGAGCGUAGAUGGGUUGUUAAGUCAGUUGUGAAAGUUUGCGGCUCAACCGUAAAAUUGCAAUUGAUACUGGCAGCCUUGAGUGCAGUUGAGGUAGGCGGAAUGCGUGGUGUAGCGGUGAAAUGCUUAGAUAUCACGAAGAACUCCGAUUGCGAAGGCAGCUUACUAAACUGCCACUGACGUUGAUGCACGAAAGUGUGGGUAUCAAACAGGAUUAGAUACCCGAGUAGUC
rnacentral:rRNA from 1 species